rnacentral:rRNA from 1 species
UACGUAGGGGGCGAGCGUUGUCCGGAGUUACUGGGCGUAAAGCGCACGCAGGCGGUCUGCUAAGUUUGGAGUGACAGUUGGUGGCUUAACUGCCAAAGUGCUUCGAAAACUGACAGACUUGAGGGCUUCAGAGGGACACGGAAUUCCGGGUGGAGUGGUGAAAUGCGUAGAGAUCGGGAGGAACACCAGAGGCGAAAGCGGCGACCUGGACAGGCACUGACACUCAACUACGAAAGCGUGGGGAGCAAACAGG